AUUGCCCCAGUAACGGCGAGUGAAGCGGCAACAGCUCAAAUUUGAAAUCUGGCUUCGGCCCGAGUUGUAAUUUGUAGAGGAUGCUUUUGGUGCGGUGCCUUCUGAGUUCCCUGGAACGGGACGCCAGAGAGGGUGAGAGCCCCGUAUAGUUGGACACCAAGCCUUUGUAAAGCUCCUUCGACGAGUCGAGUAGUUUGGGAAUGCUGCUCUAAAUGGGAGGUAUAUCUCUUCUAAAGCUAAAUAUAGGCCAGAGACCGAUAGCGCACAAGUAGAGUGAUCGAAAGAUGAAAAGCACUUUGAAAAGAGGGUUAAAUAGUACGUGAAAUUGUUGAAAGGGAAGGGCUUGUGACCAGACUUGUGCCGGGCUGAUCAUCCACGGUUCUCCGUGGUGCACUCUGCCCGGCUCAGGCCAGCGUCGGUUCUGGCAGGGGGACAAAAGCUUAGGGAACGUGGCUCCUCCGGGAG
rnacentral:rRNA from 1 species